UCCUGGAUGUGUCUAUGGACACAAGCCCUAUAGUCUGUAUGUCCCUAAACUUCCAACUCCCAGAAGCUGGGACUGCAUGACAGGGGCUGGAUCACUCAAAAUUGCCCUGUUCUGUUCAUUCCCUCUGAAGCAUCUGGCAAUGGCUGUUGUCAGGAAACAGGAUA